rnacentral:rRNA from 1 species
GAUGAACGCUGGCGGCGUGCCUAAUACAUGCAAGUCGAGCGCACAGACGAGGAGCUUGCUCCUCUGAUGUUAGCGGCGGACGGGUGACUAACACGUGGAUAACCUUCCUAUAAGACUGGGCUCACUUCGGGAAACCUGAGCCAAUACCUGAUAACAUGUUGAACCGCAUGGUUCAUCAGUAAAAGACGUUCUUGCUGUCACUUAUAGAUGGAUCCUCGCCGCAUUAGCUAGUUGGUAAGGUAACGGCUUUCCACGGCAACGAUGCGUAGCCGACCUGAGAGGGUGAGCGGCCACAGUGGAACUGAGACGUGGUCCAGCAUCGUACGGGAGGCAGCAGUAGGGAAUCUUCCGCAAUGGGCGAAGGCCUGACGGAGCAACGCCGCGUGAGUGAAGAAGGUCUUCGGAUCGUAAAACUCUGUUAUUAGGGAAGAACAAAUGUGUAAGUAACUAUGAACGUCUUGACGGUACCUAAUAAGAAAGCCACGGCUAACUACGUG